rnacentral:rRNA from 1 species
AGGAAAGAGCUCAAAGUUGGAACCUGUUUGGCUUAGCUAAACCGGAUUGUAAACUGUAGAAGUGUUUUCCUGACACGCCUGGUAAAAAAGUCCUUUGGAACAGGGCAUCAUAGAGGGUGAGAAUCCCGUCAUUGGCCAGAGCUGUUGUCUUUUGUGAUACAUUUUCAAAGAGUCAGGUUGUUUGGGAAUGCAGCCUAAAUUGGGUGGUAAAUCUCACCUAAAGCUAAAUAUUUGCGAGAGACCGAUAGCGAACAAGUACCGUGAGGGAAAGAUGAAAAGAACUUUGAAAAGAGAGUUAAACAGUAUGUGAAAUUGUUAAAAGGGAACCGUUUGGAGCCAGACUGGCUUAACUGUAAUCAAUCUAGGCUUUGGCCUGGAUGCACUUGCGGUUUAUGCCGGCCAACGACAGUUUUGUUUGGGGGAAAAAAUUACAUUGAAUGUGGCCCUUCGGGGCGUUAUAGCUUUGUAAAAAAUACCCUGGACUGGACUGAGGAACGCAGUGAAUGCCUUUAGGCAAGAUUGCUGGGUGCUUUCGCUAAUAAAUGCUAGAAUUUCUGCUUCGGGUGGUGCUAGUGUUUAAAGGAGGAACUCGCUUAGUAUAUUUUUUAUUCGCUUAGGUGUG